rnacentral:rRNA from 1 species
AGGACGAACGCUGGCGGCGUGCUUAACACAUGCAAGUCGAACGGUAAGGCCCUUCGGGGUACACGAGUGGCGAACGGGUGAGUAACACGUGGGUGAUCUGCCCUGCACUUCGGGAUAAGCUUGGGAAACUGGGUCUAAUACCGGAUAUGACUACGAAUCGCAUGGUUUGUGGUGGAAAGCUUUUGCGGUGUGGGACGGGCCCGCGGCCUAUCAGCUAGUUGGUGAGGUAAAAGCUCACCAAGGCGACGACGGGUAGCCGGCCUGAGAGGGCGACCGGCCACACUGGGACUGAGACACGGCCCAGACUCCUACGGGAGGCAGCAGUGGGGAAUAUUGCACAAUGGGCGCAAGCCUGAUGCAGCGACGCCGCGUGAGGGAUGAAGGCCUUCGGGUUGUAAACCUCUUUCAGCAGGGACGAAGCGAAAGUGACGGUACCUGCAGAAGAAGCACCGGCUAACUACGUGCCAGCAGCCGCGGUAA